GCUUCGUGGAACUUAAAACAAAUGUGUCUUUUUCGUGCUGCUCAAAAACUACCAUCGAAUACAACAAAAUACCAUCGGCUGAUUUUCUAGCAUUCAUCGGCCAGUUUUUUUUUUCGAUCUGAGUAGAGCCGCUAGAAACAGUUUGUGCGUGACCAUGGUGAUAUUACGUUUAGUUAUUUCAGCAUGGGCGCAAAUACAUUUCUUAUCGGUUCAGUCCAUG
rnacentral:lncRNA from 1 species